GUCAGGAUGGCCGAGCGGUCUAAGGCGCUGCUUUCAGGUCGCAGUCUCCCCUGGAGGCGUGGGUUCUAAUCCCAUUUCUGACA
rnacentral:tRNA from 1 species